GACGAACGCUGGCGGCGUGCCUAAUGCAUGCAAGUCGCACGCGCGCUUCGGCGCGAGUGGCGCACGGCUGAGUAACACGUGGGGAUCGACCCGACCGUGGGGGACAACAUGCCGAAAGGCGUGCUAAUCCCGCAUACGCGCUUCGGCGGAAAGCAGUAAUGCGCGGUCGGACGAGCCUGCGGCCCAUCAGGUUGUUGGGGGGGUAACAGCCUCCCAAGCCGAUGACGGGUAGCUGGUCUGUGAGGACGACCAGCCAGACUGGGACUGAGAACGGCCCAGACUCCUACGGGAGGCAGCAGCAAGGAAUUUUCGGCAAUGGGCGCAAGCCUGACCGAGCAACGCCGCGUGCGGGAUGACGGCCUUCGGGUUGUAAACCGCUUUGGUGGGGGACGAUGAUGACGGUACCCCACGAACAAGCCCCGGCUAACUCUGUGCCAGCAGCCGCCGUAAAAC
rnacentral:rRNA from 1 species